AUAAUAAAUAAGAAUAUUGUCUUGUCUGGUCUCGUGCCUCGCCAGUGUGUCGCCUUAUCUAUCUAUUUAUAUCUAUCCUACAUCAUCAUCAUCAUCAUGGUCGUCGUCGUAGUCAUCUAAUCCGUUCAUAUGCUUUCUGCAGCAGUGCAGCCCCUGGCCUGGAAAUGGAAAUGGAAAUGGAAAUGGAAUAACCCCACCCCACCACACCACACCACACCACAGCACUACCCCCACCAAUCCACCUCAAUCGUCUCUUCUCUUCUCAUCUGAUCUUCCUUUCAAAAUUUACAUCAUUAGCAUUGCAAUAAUCUCUUCAACCUGAACAGCUGAACCCCAACCCCAACCCCAACCCCAACCCUCAAUAGGAAAAUCCAAAUACGAGAGAAAAGAAGAGAGAAGAAGAGAGAGUGAGAGGUAGGGAGAGCCGCAGCACACUGCCACUGCACUACUCUACAUUACCAUUAUAGAUAGAUAGAUAGAUAGAUAGAUAGAUAGAUAGAGAGAAGGGAAAGAAGCACCCCCACCCCACUCCCAAUCCCACUCCCACUCCCAACCAAAGCUUUAGCAAGCAACAAAAGCAGCCAAUCAAUGGAGAACAACACCCAGCAGCAGCAGCAGCAUCAGCAUCAGCAUCAGCAUCAAUCGCCAUCUUCCUCGUAUCCUACAACAGCGGCGCCGGCAAUUCCCCCACCGGCGGCUUCUCCUGCUGCCCCAUUCCACCACCUGCUGCAGCAACAGCAGCAGCAGCUCCAGAUGUUUUGGUCCUACCAGAGGCAGGAGAUCGAGCAGGUCAAUGACUUCAAGAACCACCAGCUCCCCCUCGCCCGCAUCAAGAAGAUCAUGAAGGCCGACGAGGACGUCCGCAUGAUCUCUGCCGAGGCUCCCAUCCUCUUCUCCAAAGCCUGCGAGCUCUUCAUCCUCGAGCUCACCAUCCGCUCCUGGCUCCACGCCGAGGAGAACAAGCGCCGCACCCUCCAGAAGAACGACAUCGCCGCCGCCAUCACCCGCACUGACAUCUUCGAUUUCCUCGUCGACAUCGUCCCCCGCGAUGAGAUCAAGGACGAAGCCGCCGCCGCUGCUGCUCUCGGCGUUGCUGGGGUCCCUCCCGCCAUGGUCGGCGGCGGCAUGGGCCCCACCGCCAGCGGCGUCCCCUACUACUACCCUCCCAUGGGCCAGCCCGCUGCUGGCCCUGGAGGGAUGAUGAUCGGCCGCCCCGCCAUGGACCCCUCCGCAGUCUACGUGCAGCCGCCUUCCCAGGCUUGGCAGAGCGUUUGGCAGACUGCAGCCGCCACUGGGGAUGAUGGGACCUACGGUGCUGGUGGUGUUGGGACCAAUGGGCAGGGCAGUCGGGAUGGUCAAGGGUAGGUAAAAAUGAUUCACGAAGAGAUAUCUGAUGCGUAUGAGUGAUGGAGGAGAAAUGGUGCAUUGAGCUUUUGGGGUUAUUAAGGUUUGGAAGAAAGGCAGCCUCAAAUUGUUCACUUACCAAAAGGUUUUAGAGACGAUAAAAAUAAAUGAAGCAUGCAGAUGCUAGGGAUCAUAUAAAUUCGAGGGGGAAGAGAUUACUUGGAUUUUGAACAGAUGCUGAGUGUAAUCGAUGCGGUACUUGGUGCCAGGGAAGCUGAAGCUGAUGGGUUCUUCUGGCGCUUGCCGAUUGUCUGAGUUACUUGUGAAUUUGUGCUCUUGCCCAGCAUUAAAGUGUGUCUAAGAUUGUAUCAAAGUUAAUGAAGAAGGACCAAACGAGUGUAAAACUGACUACUUGAUUUUAAAGCUGUGCAGUAACAGAGAGACUGUUGUCAUCUGCUCUAUAAUCUAUUAUUAUGUUAAUCUUUUGGACU